AGAAAUAGAGGAUUUGUCCAUCAAGAUCACAACCUUAACCUUCUCGGUCAUGCCUGGAAGCUUUACAAAGAAGAUAGGUCACACUAGAACUAAUUGAUGACCAGCUAGCUAAUUCUUGCGAUAUUUCCCAAGUUUUAAGAUCAAUCCAAGUGGGUUUAUUAUGUGUGCAAAAACGUCCAGAAGACAGACCAAGCAUGUUUGCUGUGGUUAAUAUGUUGGCUAAUGAGACCCUACUGCCAAAAGCAAAAGAACCUGGAUUUUUCACAGAACGAAACAUAUAUGAUGAAGAAAAAUCAGAAUUGUGGGGAGCCAGUUCAAAAAAUGAAGUGACAAUCUCAUUGUUAGAUCCUCGGUAGAGUGUGGCACACAUGAAUAGGAAAAAUAUAUUACAACUUUGAUUGUUGAGAAGUACAGUAGAUUUUGAACUAAAACAUCAAGUUGACUAUAUAAUUCAGAUUUUAUUUCGAAAAGUGUAAUUAUUUUGACGCCAAUAACCUGCAUUCACCUUUAAAAUUAGCUUACUCAUUCUUUUACUAUACAUAAAUAUUCAAAGAAAGAUCCAUAUUUUAUUUGAAUUGCACAAAAACCCAUGCACUCCCCAUUCAAAACCAACCUAACAUACAUUUGAAGUUUGAAUCAUUCAAAAUACAGACAAGUCCUUAAAGGGUGAGACCACUCUAAUCAAAGAUAAACAUAUAUAACUGAUACCUCUAAACAAUCCUCCUUUUUUCUUUUUACCUUUCUGAAGAACAGAUAAGCAGCAACAACAACAACAACACAGGUCAGUGUAUUCCCGCAAAGUUGGAUCCGAUGAGGGUAAGGAAUCUAUUCCGAAUAGACCCCUGCUCAAGACAAAAACAGUGGUAAUAGACCGAAGAACAGAUAAGAAAAGCCAGAAAGUAGUAUCAAAAGAAUUGGAUCAGAUUCUCUUUUUCUUCUUAUAAAAAAUACUCCUAGUACUACUUAUUACCAUUUUCUAUGGUCUCAGCUGACAACUUUGAGGGUGCCCGUCUAAACACCUAAUCUUGAUCUCAACUAACUAUUAAGUAUUUCAAC